rfam:Human rhinovirus 1B, complete genome.
UUAAAACUGGGUGUGGGUUGUUCCCACUCACACCACCCAAUGGGUGUUGUACUCUGUUAUUCCGGUAACUUUGUACGCCAUUUUCCCU